UACGUAGGGGGCAAGCGUUGUCCGGAUUUAUUGGGCGUAAAGAGCGUGUAGGCGGACAAACAGGUCAGCUGUGAAAACUCGAGGCUCAACCUCGAGACGUCGGUUGAAACCGUUUGGCUAGAGUCCGGAAGAGGAGAGUGGAAUUCCCGGUGUAGCGGUGAAAUGCGCAGAUAUCGGGAAGAACACCCGUGGCGAAGGCGGCUCUCUGGGACGGUACUGACGCUGAGACGCGAAAGCGUGGGGAGCAAACAGG
rnacentral:rRNA from 1 species